rnacentral:lncRNA from 1 species
CCUUAUUUUUUCAAAUAAAAAUAGGAGGAGAGUAAUAAAAGUGUGUAAUCUGGUUGUUUGGUGCACGUCAACGGUUACGCAAUUAAUCCUAAACUGCGCCCCUCCCCUUCGAUAAAACGCUAAUCUGUGAGCACAAACCCAUCCCCGGCUGAGAAGCCAUCACUCCUCUCUGCGCCGCUGAGCACCCACCCCGCUGAGCACCCCUCUUUUCGCAACUUCCCAUCUCGCCGCUGAGCCAGCCCAACACGCCAUUAUCUCAGGCAAACCUGUGAUCCUUGCCAUUGAUCUUGAGGUAUGCACUUUAUUCUCUCUGUUAUUGAUCAUUGUGUUUGUUCGUGAGCUCUUGCAGCAAAAGGCUCUUAUUAUUGAUCUCUGUUUUUGUUAUUGUCUUUGUUCUUUAGGUCUUGAAGCUUGGAGCUCUUAUACCCCAUGAUUUUAGGGCACAAGUUUUUUUUGUGGGGUUUUCCCUCUGUUGAAUCUCAAUUUGGGUCUUCUUAGUUUUUUUUUCUCUCUCUUUCUCUGUUAUUUUCUCACUGUUUGGAAAUUUACGCUCUCUCUUUCUUUCUGUGUUUUCUCACCGUUUGGAAUUUUCCUCUCUCUCUGUUAAUCUCAAUAUUAACAUCUGGGUUUUCUUAGUUUUUUGGUAAAUCAGUAGGGAGAGAGGAAUUUAGCCUAAGACAAACCGUUGUAAAUCAUCAAGCGGUUUUCAAUUAAACUAGGGCUCUUUUCCUACAAAAUCUAAAUCUAUGAAAUACUCUAAAUCCAUUUUUUUAAAUAAUCAAUUGGUGCUUAUUAGAUGGGUCUCAAAUUUCAAAUUGAAAAAGUACAUCUUUAACACAAAAGAAAGAAUCAAGUUCGUUAAUGAUGCAAGGUCACAACAAUUAAUUAUAAGAUUUCACGAUUGGGAAUGUAUGAUAAAAUUCAAAAAUAAAUUUUUUGAAAAGGUCACAUUACCAUCUAAAAUAUAUGGCGAAGCAUUAUCCAUCAUAUAUAGUACAGGCCUGUUUGGAUUGAAAAUUAAUUUCAUCUGGAAUAGACUAUCUUAUCCAAAACCAAUACAUGCUGGAUAAUAUUAUCUUGU